rnacentral:rRNA from 1 species
UAUCGAUUAUGGAUGGACCCNCGUCUGAUUAGCUGGUUGGUGGGGUAAAGGCCUACCAAGGCGACGAUCAGUAGCCGGCCUGAGAGGGUGAACGGCCACACUGGGACUGAGACACGGCCCAGACUCCUACGGGAGGCAGCAGUGGGGAAUCUUCCGCAAUGGACGAAAGUCUGACGGAGCAACGCCGCGUGUAUGAUGAAGGUCUUCGGAUUGUAAAGUACUGUCUUUGGGGAAGAACGGUGAGGNNGAAAAUAUUGAUUUCACAUGACGGUACCCAAGGAGGAAG